CGGGUGUACUCAUAGCAGGGGUCCCAAAAUGGUCAAUCUAAUAACAGCACACCCAAAUGGAAUCUGGGGUUAGUCUUUAUAGGAGACCAAACACAU